ensembl:lincRNA
AUGACGUGCCCCCAGCUGCCGCCACUUCUGCUUUUGGUGCUGGUGCUGCCACUAAAAGCCGAUGCGAGUAACACUAGCAGUACUCCCUACACAGGUACGACCUCAGAGAACAGUAUGGAGACAUCAUCUCUCAGCUCUCUGACUUCUUCUCCCUUCACCCCCAACACCCUCAGUUCGGGGGAACCCCCCAAAACCUACUCCAGCCCCCUGAGUUUGGAGACAGGCUCCAUGACCCACCUCAGCCCCUCAAGUUCAGGGGCAACCCCUCCCAUCCAGCCCAGCCCCGGUUCCACAGAGUCAAGGAUGAUUCCCUCCUCCCCACAACCAGAGACAACCACGCACCCUAGUUCCGGUUCCCCCAAUGCAGAGCUCACCCCCUCUUCCCAUUCCACCCUCCCCAGUUCCGAAUCCCUGACCCCGCACUGGAGCCCCACUUCCCACAGCCCCGGAACAGAGCCCUUGACCUCCACUGACCAGACCUUGGAGCCCCCUGGCCCAGCUCCAGGUGACACUGGGCCCCCUGAGUUACACAGGAACCCGGGUGUGGUGGUGGUCGUGUGUUUGCUGGUGUCUCUUUUGCUCAUCGGGUCUGUGGUCACGGCUGUGAGGUUCUGUCACCGGGAUGAGUCCACAUUCGAGAAGCUGGACGAGGUGUCCAUGGGAUCCAUGAAUGACAGAUUGUCCUUUGCCCACCACCUCCAGGAGUGAGCCCUGAGGAGCCAACAGAGAUGUGGGCGUGGAUGGGGCUGGGGUGCCUGGGGAGGAGCAGAACCUGAGGAAAUAAACCCCCUACCAUUCAUCCAAGGCCUCCUGAGUUAUGGAUUCGUGUGACAAACAUUAGCUGAGCACCUACUAUGUGCUGGGCUCUGUGCUGGAGUCACAGUGGGGACCAUGUCUUUACUCUCAGGGGAGCCACAGACUCAAGGCAGGGACAGAUAAGAAUCAGGAGAUCACUUGGCUGAGCGUGGUGGUUCACACCUGUAUGCCAGCACUUUGGGAGGCUGAGGCAGGCAGAUCUCCUGACCUCAGGAGUUUGAGACUAGCCUGGCUAACAUGGUGAAACUCUGUCUCUACUAAAAAUACAAAAAUUAGCUGAGUAUGGUGGUAGGUGCCUGUAAUCCCAGCUACUCAGGAGGCUGAGGCAGAGAAUCGCUUCAACCCCAGGAGGCAGAGGUUGCAGUGAGCUGAGAUCACCCCACUGCACUCCAGCCUGGGCAACAGAGCAAGACUCCAUCUAAAAAAAUAAAAAGAAGAAGAAUCAGGAGAUCACAUGAGAUCUUUGCAGGUGGCACAGAAGGCCAUGGAGUCACAGACUGAGACUGUGGCCAAACCACAAGGGCUGCGGUGGCCAAACCACAAGGGUUGUGGUGUCCAGGUUUGCUGAGAAGGUAGGGAGGCCUCUUUGAGGAGGUAACUUUUUUUUUUCUUCGAGAUAGGAUCUUGCUCUGUUGCCCAGGUUGGAGUGCAAUGGUGCAAUCUCGGCUUACUGCAGCCUCAACCUCCCAGGCUCAAGUGAUCCUCCUGCCUCAGCCUCCUGAGUAGCUGGGACUACAGGGGGACAGUAUGCCUGGCUAAUUAAAAAAAAAAAAAAAAAUUGGGGCCAGGUGUGGGGUGGCUUAUGCCUGUAAUCCUGGUACUUUGGAAGGCCAGGUAGGUGGAUCAUUUGAGGUCAGGAGUUCAAGACCAGCCUGGCCAACAUGGUGAAACCCCAUCUUUACUAAAAAUACAAAAAUUGCCUGGUGUGGUGGUGGGCGCCUGUAAUCCCAGCUACUAGGGAGGAUGAGGCAGGAGAAUUGCUUGAGCCUGGGAGGCAGAGGUUGCGGUGAGCCGAGAUUGCACUGCUGCACUCCAGUCGAGGCAACAGAGUAAGACUCUGUCUCAAAACAAACAAACAAAACUUGGAAGCUGGGCAUGGUGGCUUACCACUGUAAUCCCAGUACUUUGAGAAGCUGAGGUGGGCAAAUUGCUUGACCUUGGUAGUUUGAGAUCAGAUGGGGCAAUGUGGCAGAACUCCAUCUCUUUCUCUUUUUUUCUUUCUUUCUUUCUUUUUUUUUUGAGAUGGAGUCUCGCUGUCGCACCCAGGCUGGGAGUGCAAUGGCGCAAUCUCGGCUCACUGCAAGCUCCGCCUCCUGGGUUCACGCCAUUUUCCUGCCUCAGCCUCCCAAGAAGCUGGGACUACAGGUGCCUGUCACCACAUUCAGC